UCCCACCUCUUCGGAGCGAGGCCCUUGCGCUCGGGCCGCGCCCUGCUGAGCUAGACGGCUGGGGACUGUUUCUGGUCGGGGCUGUGGCCUUGGCAAAGGGCCUCUCGGAGGACCUCCAGCGCCCUUCCUUUCCGCGCCAGCCCGCAGCUGCUGCUGAUUCUGCUGCUGCUGACAGUCCCACCCCAAAGCCAUUGAAGCCCCUCCUUGUCUCAGCUGCCCUCAGCUCCGCCUGAGUACUUGAUGAGCUCGUUGGCUUGUGCAGGACGGCCAAUAAUUAUCUAACGACCGGAGAACGCCAAACAUCCCUGGACUAGAAGUCGCGAGGAACAUAAAACGGCCAAGAAAGUUUAUUCUCUUUGCUGGUUCAGAAAACAAAAGGAUUGCAAAUAGACUUCACAGGUGCUCCAACUCAGCUUUGCCUCCCUUUGAUUCCAACAAAGCUACCCAGCAGGAAAGGAGAAGGACUCCCUCAAGCUGACAAGAGGCAAGGAGACAAGGACACUUCUGGCAGAAGGAAGUACAUGAACAUAAAGGCAGAGGUGCAAAGAACAAUUUGGCUGCACUUGCAACAUUGUUUACCAGGCUGGUGAAGAUGGGUUCUUCCCCCUUUGCUGUGGAACCUAUCAACUAUUAUGUUACAGUUCACA